AUGAGUAAAUUACUUGUCAUAGCCCUCCUGCUGCUGCCUCUUAUCAACCACGGAAACGACUUGGCCGUAGCAUGGGAUGAUAAAGAUUUCUUCAGAUACUGCGCACCGUCCCAGUGCAGCCAACAUGGCCCAGAGAUCAGGUAUCCUUUCUGCCUUAAAUCCAGCAAUACAUCAUCAUCAUGUGGAUGUCGCGAAUCAUGGACGAAGUUAGCAUGUUCUGGUCAAGACACCAUCCUACUUCACCCAGUUCUUGGCCCAUACAGUGUCAGCGCCAUGGAUUACAGACGUUCUUCCAUGAAGAUCAUCCCGCUUGUAGACCCCUGCCAACUGCUCCAGCAGGAGCUCAUGAUCUCCGGAAGCUUAUCAUCUCAAAAAGUUGAUGUUGCCAACGAUGACCCGCUGGGUCCGAACCAAUUAUUUUCUUGGAGUUUAUCUGCAACCCUAGUACACUGUUCAAGAGAGUUCACACCUGGUGCUGCCGAUAGCAUUGCAGGCCCAGUCUCCUGCCUUAGCAACGCAACCCACUUCCUGUAUUUGGUAGCUGGCUAUGAAGAUAUGUCUCUUCUUCCGCUGGACUGCAAGGUCAUCCCAGUCUCAGAUGGCAGAAGCGUCCUGAUACAGAUACCAAAGUAUGACAACCGACAAUUGUACGAAGACUACAAACCACAGUUCUUCAAGGAAAGUGCUGAAAGAAUCCUCAGUUUCACUGAGAUGACGGUGUAUUGGAAUGAAUACAGUUGCAUUGAUUGUGAACUCCAUUGCGGACGCUGCGCAUUCAGCUCACAAAGGAGUCUACCAUUCUGCAUGCCUGGUUCACAUAUCAAAGUCAUUGCAGCUACAUCUUCGGUGGCCGCAUUUGUUGUUCUUUUAUUGACAGUGACCACUGCACUUUAUCUUUCACUCAAGACAAGAUAUAAUAAGGAGAUACAUUUGAAGGUCGAAAUGUUUCUCAAGACAUAUGGCACAUCAAAACCCACGAGGUACACGUUCUCUGAAGUUAAGAAGAUAGCAAGACGGUUUAAGGAAAAGGUAGGGCAGGGAGGAUUUGGAAGUGUAUACAAAGGCGAGCUACCAAAUGGAGUGCCCGUGGCAGUCAAGAUGCUAGAGAACGCUACAGGAGAGGGAGAAGUAUUCAUCAACGAAGUUGCAACCAUCGGACUUAUCCAUCAUGCCAAUAUUGUCCGCCUCCUGGGAUUUUGUUCCGAAGGAAUGAGACGGGCUCUUAUUUAUGAAUUCAUGCCUAACGAGUCACUAGAGAAAUACAUAUUCUCUCGUGACCUUAACAUUUUUCAGCAUCUUCUGGUGCCAGACAAACUGCUAGAUAUUGCUUUAGGCAUCGCCCGAGGAAUGGAGUACUUGCAUCAAGGGUGCAACCAGCGCAUCCUCCACUUUGACAUCAAGCCUCACAAUACCUUACUGGACCACAACUUCAAUCCAAAGAUCUCAGAUUUUGGCCUUGCUAAGUUGUGUGCAAGGGACCAAAGCAUCGUCACCUUAACAGCAGCAAGAGGCACAAUGGGCUAUAUUGCACCAGAGUUAUAUUCUCGUAACUUUGGGGGAGUAUCGUACAAGUCAGAUGUGUACAGUUUCGGGAUGCUGGUGUUAGAAAUGGUGAGCGGAAGGAGGAAUGCAGACCCAAGUAUUGAGAGUCAGAACGACGUUUACCUCCCAGAGUGGAUCUACGAGAAAGUGGUCAAUGGGGAGGAGUUGGCUCUUACUUUGGAAACGACUCAAGAAGAGAAAGAGAAGGUGAGGCAGCUGGCUAUUGUCGCACUGUGGUGUAUCCAGUGGAACCCAAGAAACCGGCCAUCGAUGACAAAGGUCGUUAACAUGUUAACAGGGAGGUUUCAGAAUCUGCAGAUGCCACCGAAGCCUUUCAUCUAA
rnacentral:rRNA from 1 species